CGUGUAGGUGGCCUGUUAAGUGGCGCGUGAAAGCCUGCGGCUCAACCGCAGGACGUCGUGUCAGACUGGCGGGCUUGAGGGUGGCAGAGGGUGAUGGAAUUCCCGGUGUAGCGGUGAAAUGCGUAGAUAUCGGGAGGAACGCCAGUGGCGAAAGCGGUCACCUGGGCCAUCCCUGACGCUGAGACGCGAAAGCUGGGGGAGCGAACGGGAUUAGAUACCCCGGUAGUCCCAGCCGUAAACGAUGCUCACUAGGUGUUGGGGGGGUUACUCCCUCAGUGCCGCAGUUAACGCAUUAAGUGAGCCGCCUGGGGAGUACGGCCGCAAGGCUAAA
rnacentral:rRNA from 1 species